rnacentral:lncRNA from 1 species
UUUUUUUAACAAGAUUUGGUUAUGGGGAAGAUGAUAAAGUAUAUAGAGUUUGAGGAAAGAAAGUCUAGGACUAGGGACAUUGGGAAAGUGUGAAAACAUAGGUAUUAUCUGAACACCUUAAGUCUCAUGGAGUAACGGCGCGAGUCCAACGUGUAGAUUCGUCCCGAAGUGGACCAACAAACGCCAAAGUGCGUAAAUUCAUUGAAAAAGAAA